GGGAGGGCCUUCUUGCUGUGUCAUGCCAUGGUGAUAAUAAAAUAAUACUUUAUAAAAAUGAAUUUGGUAGCCACAGGUAUGAUGGUUUGGGGAAGAUGAUGGAAGGGUGAUUACAAAGUUAUUGCCUUGGCUCUGGCAAUAAGAAUUGAGAACUUCAACUAGGACAAGGGCAAUGGGAAUGGAGAGAUGGGGAUGGACAGAAUGCAUGCUGUAAUGUAGCCUCAGGAUAAAGAAGUUGAAUGAGUUUGGCAUGCAGCAAUGAAGAGGAAGAAGUAAAAGGUGAACCCAACGGUACAAGCCUGGGCAACUACAAGAAUGGUGAUCCCAUCACAGAAACCAGAAAUGCGGGAGGAGUGGGUUUUGGAGUUGAGACAAUGAAAAGAAAUGUUAUAGAUACUAUAGAUAGACUAUUACUAAUAUUUUAGAUAAGUUAAACAAACAAAAAAAGUUCAGUGAAGUUUUGAACACAAAAUCCUGAAGACAAGAGGUUUCAAAUGUUGUAGUGAGUUGUGAAGGAUAAGUUAGAAGGAAAUGCCUACCUAGCCACACUGGAAAGGAAGUUUGGUUUCCAAAUCAUCUCAAUCCAUCGGCUCAAGCAGAUGAGGAAGCUGAGACCUGGGUCACAUGCCUGAAGGCUUUCUGAAUCUAAGUGGACCCCAUUUCAGCUCAACUUAAGGACCUCAAUCCUCUGCUGCUUACAAUUGUCCCUUUGCUCCUUGCCGUGCUCUCCUGUUGUUGAUAUUUUCAUUUCAGCCAUUCAAAUUGAAUAUUUAGAAGAAGGAGCACAAGAAAGAGGACACCCUUAACAGAAAAGUUAUUCAUUUCCAAUUUAAGACUCAUCAAGGGAUAAAAUCUGAAAACUUAUAAAGGAUACUUAUUACAGAAAAAAUUUAAGGGGAAACUGGUGCUGUGGAGAGACCCAUGUGGAAAGGAACUGAGGACUCCCGGCAAAAGUCACCAAGGACCGAGGUUGCUGACAGCUGCAUGUGAACUCGGAAGCAGAUCAAUCCUUGCCCAAGCCCACACUUUGUCUACAGCCUUGGGGAAGAAAGGGUGUGAUAUGUUUCCUCACCCAUCAUGAGGGUCACUGCCGAUACUCCUGUGACAAAAGACAGACAGGAAAUGGCACGUGCCACCUCUACUCAUAUUUAAUUCGUCAAAGAAGUCACAUGGUCAAGCAGUGAAGGGGCAGCAAAUGAUAGAGACAAUGAUGUCAUCUCCAAUGACUACAUGGAGCCCUAGUCGUUUGUUUCUGAAGAUAAAAGACCAAGAAGAGGUCAAAAAAAA
rnacentral:lncRNA from 1 species